rnacentral:lncRNA from 1 species
UUCUAUUGAAAACAAGGGCUCGUGGCAUUUCGGGGGUGUUAUGUUUCUAGAGAGAGUCGCGGUGCUUUGUUUCCAUUGAGAAUCGGGGUGCUUUGUUUUGAGAGAGAAAAACAAACCAAAGAGAGAAACAUGGGUUCGUAGCAUUUCGGGGUGCUCUGUUUCUAGAGAGAGAAACAGGGGUUAGUAGCAUUUGGGGGAUGCUCUAUUUUUCUUGGGUUCGUCUGUAAUUUCUUGGAUUUUCCUUUAUAAUUUGCAGGAGCAAGAAUAUUCAAAGUUCGUGGUUCAAUGGGGUACGAAUUGAGUAUUGUGGUUUUAUCAAGAGAAAAGGAAAUGGGGGAUACAAGAAUUGGUUUGUAGGAGCAUGAACACCCCAAAACCCUAAUAGGGUUUACAAGAAGAAUCUGUGGUUGGCAAGAAGAAUCCUUGUAGGUUUGCUGAUUUUAUGUUUUUGUUUUUUAAAUUUGUGUAUUAAUUUUGGAUUUUUUAGCUCUAAUUUGUGCCAUAAAUAGUAUUUUCAUAGAAACAGUUAUCACAAAUAAUCACAGAAAUCUGCAUGUAUAUGAUUUUCUUUACACAAUCAUUUCUUUUACAAAAUGAUUUGCUGUAAAUAGUAUUUCAUUUACACAACGAUUUUCUAUAAUAACAACUGAAAUAUACAUCUAUUUGUUUAAGUUUUAAAAAAAAGGAAAAGAAAAAUGCGUACAUUCAAUAUGUAACUGUGGCUUUAAGGAACACGAUUUCAACAUAAACCACAUAAACCCUAAGAUAAUAAAUCCUAACAAUACAUCUAUUUUAGGAAUUUUUUUUUAUAUAAUGCUUUUUUUAGCGAGUGUGAAAAUAGCAAUGGCUGAAAUACACGAAACGGGAAAAAAAAAAUCUUUAAAAAAAAAUUACAGGUAAAAAAAGGUACGAUUCUUUGGUCUGAUUUAAAUCGUUUUAUGAAAAAAUCGUGUUUUAAAUGUUUUUAUGAAAAAGGUAUGAUUUUAUGCCGAGCUUUUUAAAAAGUCACAGUUUAAAAAGAACGCCGAUUUUUUUAAAACAUCGCCAAUUAAAUGAUGAUUUGUUAACUAUGCUCUCUACCGAUCCAUUUGAGACCUACUCUUGACUUCUGAAUUUAUGUCGCGUCAUAUUUUCUUUACAGCCCCUUGACAUCAAUCAAUCAAGUUCCGGUUGAUCCAAGUUUUACGUUGCCCGCUAUUGUUUAUCGUCAUGAUCAGUAGGAAUCUCAUCAAAGCAUUGCUAUUUGCAUUGCCCGCAAUACCCAAGAUACCCUUGCUCUUAUUGUUUUCAUUGAUCUCAGCUUGUAGAGCAAAGAUCUCCGCCUCACAGAUGGUGAUGAAUAAGUUACAAAAUCUUCAACAGUUGCACCAUAGUUUGCACCUUGCGCCAACAUGGCAAUUUCUCUCUCUAAGAGAAGAGAAAUUGGUGCACGUGGAGCAGCUACUGAUGAGAGUGGGAUUUGAAACCAGCCCUCUCAACUCCCUGUGCAAAAGUUUUUUUUGUUUUUGACAGUGCACUAUACUUUGUGCCUCCCCCAUGUUCAUUCUUGCCCAUCAAUGGAACAGUUGUUCGAUGACUACAACUGCUCUCUUUAACUAUGAGUUUUCUACACUCGAUGCUUGCCCACAAAGACGAUGCACUCUUCAUAGUUUGACUUAGCCUUAAAAAUUAAGAUUUUGUUAUUAUUAUUUUUAACUGGUAUUUUAUUUUUAUUUUUCUGAGACCUACGGCCGAUGAAUCCAUCUCUGAAAAAUGGCCUCUGAAUUGGACAAUCUACCCCAUCUGAAAAAUCGCCUUCCUAUUUUUGCCACUAGAUCUUGAUCUCAUGAUCCACAUUCAUCAGAAAUCUCACUCAGCCACUCUAAUCUGAUACUGUCAUUGACCCUCUGAAACUCGACCCGAAAAAAAACCCUUCUAAAAUUUUUUCCAAAAACAAAAAAUACUAUGUUUUAUGAGUUCAUCUUCGUGUUGUCUGUUCUUAUUUGUAUGAUUGAGUGUGUUUGUUUUGUUACUCGAUCAUCUCUGUUCUGGUCUGCGAUUAUUGAAUUUGUCUUGGAUUCCCACUGAGUUCUAUUGGCUCUUCAAAGUGUCAUUCUGUUUUCUCGGCUAUCUCAACCACUUUUUAUCUCCAGUGAAGAUCUGAAAUUUUUGUCUGAUUGCAUAUAACCAUCUGUUGUUCUUGGAGCUUGCUUAUAUGUCAUUGAGGCCUGCUGAUAUGUCACUGCUCGAGCAUGUCAUGUUCUGUUUCUAAGGCUUGUUGAGCCGCCGCUGCUUUCUAUACUUGUUGAUCAAGCAAUCUGAGCAUGACAACUACUGCUUCUAUUGGUCACGCGAUGCACAUGAAGAUCCAACUACUUGUUUCUGCAACUCAGUGUUCAAACUGUAGCUGCUCUCUCUCAAAGCAUCUUGAGUUUGAGAGGGGUGUUAUUGUAUAGAUAUGCAUAGUAUGGAUACAUAUAUGUAUGGAUAUAUAGCCGCAUGGAUAUAUAUCUCUUGAUAAGAUUAGGUGUGCUUGUAUGCAUAGGUUUCUCUUGAAUAUGAUAAGAUUAGGUGGUAUCUAUCUAUAACUAUUACUGGCUGUGUAUAUAUAGUGGAUCUUGUUUAUUCUUUGAUACAUCAAUAUAGAAAGAGUUCUCUGCAUA